AGUGAACGCUGGCGGUAGGCCUAACACAUGCAAGUCGAACGGCAGCACAGUAAGAGCUUGCUCUUACGGGUGGCGAGUGGCGGACGGGUGAGGAAUACAUCGGAAUCUACUUUUUCGUGGGGGAUAACGUAGGGAAACUUACGCUAAUACCGCAUACGACCUACGGGUGAAAGCAGGGGAUCUUCGGACCUUGCGCGAUUGAAUGAGCCGAUGUCGGAUUAGCUAGUUGGCGGGGUAAAGGCCCACCAAGGCGACGAUCCGUAGCUGGUCUGAGAGGAUGAUCAGCCACACUGGAACUGAGACACGGUCCAGACUCCUACGGGAGGCAGCAGUGGGGAAUAUUGGACAGUGGGCGCAAGCCUGAUCCAGCCAUACCGCGUGGGCGAAGAAGGCCUUCGGGUUGUAAAGCCCUUUGUUGGGAAAGAAAAGCAGCAGGUUAAUACCCCGCUGUUCUGACGGUACCCAAAGAAUAAGCACCGGCUAACUUCGUG
rnacentral:rRNA from 1 species